AUUGAACGCUGGCGGCAGGCCUAACACAUGCAAGUCGAACGGUAACAGGAAACAGCUUGCUGUUUCGCUGACGAGUGGCGGACGGGUGAGUAAUGUCUGGGAAACUGCCUGAUGGAGGGGGAUAACUACUGGAAACGGUAGCUAAUACCGCAUAACGUCGCAAGACCAAAGAGGGGGACCUUCGGGCCUCUUGCCAUCGGAUGUGCCCAGAUGGGAUUAGCUAGUAGGUGGGGUAACGGCUCACCUAGGCGACGAUCCCUAGCUGGUCUGAGAGGAUGACCAGCCACACUGGAACCGAGACACGGUCCAGACUCCUACGGGAGGCAGCAGUGGGGAAUAUUGCACAAUGGGCGCAAGCCUGAUGCAGCCAUGCCGCGUGUAUGAAGAAGGCCUUCGGGUUGUAAAGUACUUUCAGCGGGGAGGAAGGGAGUAAAGUUAAUACCUUUACUCAUUGACGUUACCCGCAGAAGAAGCACCGGCUAACUCCGUG
rnacentral:rRNA from 1 species